rnacentral:tRNA from 1 species
GCCUGGGUGGCUCAGUCGGUUGAGCAUCCGACUUCGGCUCAGGUCAUGAUCUCUCAGUCCGUGGGUUCGAGCCCCACGCCGGGCU